AGUACCGCUCUUCCUUUCUCUCAUGCUUUCUGUCUUGGUCCUAUAUUUAUAGUCACAGAUUUUGCCUUUUGUGUUUUCCUAUUCUGGUGGAGAUUUUUGAGCUAAAAUGGAAUCAUUGACUUUUUCCAAAAUUACAAUUCUUGCAUAUACUAAUUAAUUAAAGGCAAGGAUGGGGAGAUUUGGAUUGAGAUCUCGUGCAAUAUCCUAGGUAUUGCACGGUGUGCAAUAGCACAAAUCUCAGCCGCAUCUCAUUAUUUCAAAAACAAUCUCUCCGAAAAAAAAAAAAAAAAAAAAAAAAAAAAAAAAAAAACAUCCGCAUCUCACUUCUCCAGUGCUCCUCCCUCUGCUGUCACCACCACCCUCAGUUUCUGCAUCUUACCCAAACCACAUCCGCAUGCCCACCAUCAUCUCUGGUCUAACUCUCCACUUUUUCUAGUUGACGAAGCGAACCUUCAACCGUUUCAUGGGUUUUGUGAAUCUUUGUUUUCUUCCUUCUCUAAACUUGCAUGUGAUACAUCUAUUCUGUUGGGUUUGCUGAAGAAGAAAGAAAGAAUGAUGCUCUUGUAUAUGUUACCUAUCAGAUUUGUUACAUGUUUAUCACGGCAAGCAUGCAAGACCAAAUUAUGCAACAUUUUUGGAGAGACAUAUUAAUAGGGAUCAAGUUAAACAUAUCCACUUUGAUAAGGUGAUGAAGAUGAAGUUUAAGUCCCAUGUAUUUCAAUAUUAGUUUAGAUCAGGUUCAAUAAGCUUUAUCUAUCUUAUAAUGUUGGGUAGAUUCUCAUAGAAUGCUUAUCAAUUACUUGUAAUGUUGAUUUAUAUUCAGCCACGUGGAAUAAAUAAUGUUUGAUUAGUUCAUUAACUUUUGUGAACCAUUUAAAACGCAAGAUUUGAGCUCCUAUUGUAUAGACCCUUGUUAUCA